CCGGUUUGAAAUUGUGCUAAUGGUAAGCAAAAUUUCGAAUAGAAAAUCCCAUUCGGAUUAUGCGCUUUCCAUUUAGAGUGACUGACCGGAGGCACUGAAGGAUUGUUUACCAUUUACAUGGAAAACCCAUUCGGUUUGAAUUAAAUCGCGAAGAGCCUGGAACUGGUGAAAAAAUAAAAAAAAGAUGUAAUUAAAAUGGAACAAAAUUCACCGGUUGAAACGUUCCAAUCGGUAAGAGAGGACAACCUUUUCAAACAAACCGUUUAUUCAGGA